AUCGGAACGUUUGUUUAACGGAAGUGGGAAUACGUUGUACGGGCCUUAUUUCCGGUGGCAGUUCCGGCGCAUGAGGCACGCGUGUUAGCCGUUUGGGCUUCCAGCGGGCGUUCAUGUGAAAACCUGGGCAACGUGGCUACAUCUGAUUUAUUGAAAUGAAACCCAUCCUGCUGCAGGGCCACUACUUCAGGCCUCUCCUGUUGGGUGGGCCGUUGGGGUCAUCUGACUCUUUGACUCUGCCUUUCUGGAUCACAUGAAGACUUGUAAAACUGAGAGACCGGUGAAUUCUGCUGCCAUUUCUCCAGUCAGGUUCUUCCUUGCUAUGUAGGAGGAUGAGUUUAGCAGGAGUCAAAGGUCAUGUUGGUCCCAUCAACCGUGUGGCUUUCUACCCUGACAGCAACAGAUGCAAUGGAGGAGAAGACGGACAUGUGACAUGGAGGCCUGAAGUGUUAGCCUUGGACUCUGCCAGGUAGAGUGAAGGAGCAACUGUUGUUAGUUGACUUAGUAUGUUUUUUUUUUAGCUUUAUUAGUACUUAGUAUAUUUGUUAGGCUUUUUUUGUAGUUAGUAAUGUAGUGUAAUCACUGUAACUGGAUUGCUAUUGUUAACAGAUUUUUUUUGACUUAGCAUGCUAUGUCAAAAAAUUCUGUUAAUAGCAUAGCACUACUAUACUAUGAAAUUAUAGUCCAGAAAAUACGGUAAUCCACAUUUCCUUGUCACAGUUGCUGCAGAAGAACUGUUUCAUUUUCUUUUUUAACCUCUCAGAGUUUAACCCAGUUCUCUUCUCUUCCUGCUUUGCCCCUCAGCUCAGCUGAAUCGCCGCUGUAUGUUUUCAAACAAAGCUAAUGUUCAAAAUCAUUUUCCUAACGAGUGUAGAUAACAGUGAGAGUGUGUGUUUAUAUGCGGCGCGUGCAGGUCUCCCUGUUGCAUCGUAUCGGAGAUCAUUGUGCAUCCAUCAGUAUGCCGUUAAGCCGUGCCGGUGAGAAUAUGAAAUGGAUCUCACUUUGGGGCUAUUGCUGAUCAAUGCUCAUAAACAUUUAAUGUCAUAAUUAGCCGUCAGGCUGCACAACAACGCAUCGGCACUAACUGUUUUUGGGCGCGGACAGCGAUACGUGCGACGCUCCAUAAACGCACGUGCACAUAAGUGCAUGGGCAGGUUUGUUCGUGUCGUGAAACAUCUCAUUGUGUUUGUGUAUCUGAACGCGUACUACAGAGGUGGAGACAAGGUGCAGACACCAUCAUCAAAUAUCUCACCUCACACACUAUUAAACAAACCCACACCAUCAACCAUUCGGAGGGGAUAAAAUUAGCCGUGUUCUCUGGGAGGGUUAUGAUGUUCUGCCAUGUUGAGAAUGAGAGAUGAAAGAGCAACGGGGGUGAGGGAGGAAGAAGGGGGUGAGGGUGGUGGGGUGAGAGUGGAGCAUUAUCCAGGGAGGGCUUUACAAAGUAAGCCAAUUUAUACAAGGUAUCCCAACUCGAAUUAGCGGCUAAUGACUCUAUUAGCUUUCAUUUUUGCACCGAGGAGAUUUUGCCGCAUAAAUUAGGGCCCGAUCAUUGGCAAAGUGUCACGGCUAAAGGACAGUUUAUAAAUACAACAGCCAGGCCCUGUCAGACACAGCGGCCUCUGAUAUAGACGUCUCUGCAGACUUUGUCGUUGAGCCCAACAGACUUGUGCCAGUCAGACAGUGACAGGGGACCACUGGGAUCCCAGGGGUAGCUCGCUCGCCGUCGUCCCUGAAAAGGUCAACUUGACGCGGGCACAGCCCAUCGACCUACCCCCCUGUCGGCUCCGCUGAUAAAAAUCAGAUAAACUUAAGACCACUUAUCGAUCCCGGUUGCGGAGCCUUAGGCAAAUGUUGGCUAAGCCCCUCACCUCCCUCUCGUCCUCUCCUCCUGUGCAUAUGAUUACACCCCGGCAAAUUAGAAGAAGAUGGAGGAUAAAUGGCGGAGGAAGAGAGAGGGAGAGAGAAGAGGAGGCGGAGGCAGUGGUGCUAGUCUGGGCAAGAAGGGAAGGAGGUGGGAUGUUAUUAAGAGGUGAGGGGAUGAGAAGUGGGAGCGGGACGGUAAGAUUAAUCGUAGAAAUUUGAGCUCAGACAGGGAAAUUUCAUUAACUAUGAGAGCACUUGUUAGAGCUAAAUGGUCAGACGGAGGAGGUGAGGGAGGUGGAGGGAGUCGAUGAGACUAGAGAACCUGUUCAGGUUCAUGGUUUAAACUGGGAUUUAGAUUGUUUUUAACUAUUCUUUACUCUUUGGUCAAGAUGACCUGAUAAAAGGGCGUUAAAAUAAUAUCUAUAAUUAAUAAUGUUCCUUUAGGUUUUGAAUCACAAGUAUUUGAAGUAUACCUGCAUGUACUAAGUACAGAUUCUCAGAUACUGUUGAUACUUUUGAUGGACUGUUGAUGACAAAAUCCUCACAUUUUUUUGCUUCUGUACAUUAAAACACAUUGUUCUUAACCCAUUAGACUAUUGGUCAGUACAGUUGACCCUUGGACCUUCUUAUUUAUGACUGAGCCUUUCCCUGAUGAUCCUUUUAUACACAUCCAAGGCACUCAUUUGUUUCCAGUUGAUGUAUUUACCUGUGGUUUUU